rnacentral:misc_RNA from 1 species
AAAGAGGUACUCAAGAACGAAAACACGCUGUAUAUGUUUCUCAUUUCUACUAAGUGUACACACUUCCGUCUGUUGGUAUGUCAAACUUUUUGGGCUCUCUAGCGUCAGAGUUUGGUGAAUUUAAUUUCACGGAAUAUAACAUCACAAAUGAAAUUGAGGGGAAUGCCUCGGAACAGAACACCUCUUAUUUCCUUAACCACAAUUCGGACUAUGAUGGAUCCUUUUUCUAUUUUGAUUAUGAUCUUGCGCAAAUUCCUUACCCCAAAGAAAAGAAAGCGGUGCCUUUUGUGGAGGCUUUGAUAAAAAUUGUAGCAUGCACGGUCACUAGUGUUGUAUCGCUGGUGGGGAAUUUUCUGGUGAUUUUGGUGGUGGCCUAUAACAAGAGGCUGCGGACCACCACCAAUUUUUACAUCGUCAAUCUGGCGGUGGCCGAUUUAUUAGUGACGCUCUCUUGUUACUGGGUGGGUACAGUGGCAGACCUGACCGACGGGUGGAUACUCGGAGCAUUUUUCUGUAAAUUCAAUGCUUUUGCGCAAGUGACUUCUUUGGUGGCAAGUAUUAUGUCGCUGAUGCUUAUAGCCUGUGAUCGGUUUUUCGGAAUAGUGUACGCCAUGAAGGCUCACGUGAUAGAACGCAAGGCAUGUCACAGUAUCAUCGUCAUAUGGGUUUUCUCCAUCGCCGCGGGGACCCCUAUGUUGGUGAAAAAGAAACUGAUGAGUCGACAGUGGCUGGACUAUACCGAGAUGUGGUGUGACGACGCAUGGGAAUUGAAAACGUUCGGAGGGGGUACCGAAAAGUUCCGGCCGGGCAGGAUGGCCUACUAUACAAUAAUAUCAUUCAUUCUAUACUUCAUUCCGUUAGUUGUGAUGGCUGUUGCCUAUGUUUGUGUUAUUCGGACAUUAUGGACGUCAAAAGCACCAGGUGAAAGGACGACUAAAGACGUUAAUAUCCAAACAAAAGUGAAAAGAAAGGUGGUAAUUAUGCUGGUCUUCAUUUUGGCCGUAUUUGGACUGUGCUGGAUGCCCCUGCAGGUAGCGAUGUUGUACUCAGAAUACAAACCGUUGACAGACACGGUAAGAAGAUUUAAAUCUAUUCAUAGCUAUUGGUGAUAUUGUAUAAACUAAUAAUUACCGAGCAAUUCAUCCUUCUCCCCUUUUGAUUUUCAGCUGUGGGAAGGCUACGAAGAUUUCUAUUACAUAGCCCAGGUUCUGGCAUUCUCGAACAGCGCCAUAAACCCUCUCCUUUAUGCAGGGUUUAACGACAAUUUCAGGAAAGGCUUUAAGCAGAUGUUUGGAUGCUACAAGAAGAAGCGUUACACCACAUUAUCUAAAGUGGAUGGCGAGGACACAUAUCAUAGUUCCACUACAAUGACUCCAGUUACAAAAAUGUAGAUCGACAAGCCCUCCUACUCGUGUGAAAGUUGAUCAAGCGAGUGAAAUGUUCAGCGUAAACGCUCCUCUAUUGUAUCAUGGGAAUCAUCGAUGCCAGGAAAAUGGUACAAUGGCAAAUGUCAGAACACAAAUAUCACGUUUAAACGUUCUUUUUGUAAAUUAGGUAAUUUUUCACAAUUAUGCCAUGUUUUCAACGUUUAGAUAAAUUUGUUCUGUAAAUUUUGAUUGAAAAAAUACAGGGAACACUC